GACGCACGCUGGCGGCGUGCUUAACACAUGCAAGUCGAACGACGUGGCGAACGGGUGAGUAACGCGUAAUCAACCUGCCCUUCAGAGGGGGACAACAGUUGGCAACGAAUGCUAAUAACGCAUACUGAAUGAGGGGCAUGCGUCUGAUUAGCUAGUUGGAGGGGUAAAGGCCAACCAAGGCGAUGAUCAGUAGCCGGUCUGAGAGGAUGAACGGCCACAUUGGGACUUAGACACGGCCCAGACUCGUACGGGAGGCAGCGGUGGGGAAUCUUCCGCAAUGGACGAAAGUCUGACGGAGCAACGCCGCGAGAGUGAGGACGGCCUUCGGGUUGUAAAGCUCUGUUAAUCGGGACGCGGUACCGGAAUAGAAAGCCACGGCUAACUACGUGCCAGCAGCCGCGGUAAUUC
rnacentral:rRNA from 1 species